UAUUAAUAGAAGCAUAUGCAUUGGAAAUGAAAAAGUAUGUAGAAUAUUUUGUAUUAAUAUUUUUUUCUAUCAUAGUCUGAAAUCUUUGGAAUCAGCCUAGUAGGAGAAAUAGACUAUAAGAGAAAAAUAUUGACUUAACUGUGAAAAUAUAUACUAUAAUUUAAAACUUCAGAAACAGAUUAGAUAUUUUUGCAUGUAUUUGAAACUUCAUGAGUCACUUAGUGACCAAGUUUUUUUUUUUUUUUUUUUCUUUCAUUCAUUAAUUACAGAGAGCACAAUCCAACGUCUAUCUACCCUGUAUCAUGCACUGUAUUUGGCCUUGGAGAUUCUAAAAAGUUGAAUAAGGGAUCUAGUACUUGCCCUCAAGAUAUGCACUGUCUGAUAGAAGAAAAACAUGUAAAUGUGGGGAAAAUGUUAUUGAGGAUAUGAUGCAUACUUAUCAAUAUCCAGCAGAGAUGGAGAAGGGGAAUCAGUUCUGAUGGCAUGUAAGAGGGUGAACACUUCACAGCAAUUUAUGGUUGACUCUAACCCACUGUGGUUUGAGCAAGCUCUGGGAGUUGGUGAUGGACAGAGAAGCCUGGUGUGCUGCAGUCCAGGGGGUUGCAAAGAGUCAGACACGACUGAGCUGAACUAAACUGAACUGAACUCACCUAGGUUAUGCCAGAGGCAGAGAGGACAGUCUAAGUUGCAGUAGCCUGACUAACCUGUCAGCAAUUAUUGCUGCAAACACCCCAAAAUCCAGUAUAAUGCCUGCAAGGUCCACUAUGAGCAACAUGGAGGUACUCUGCAUGGGAAGAAGAUGUUGAAAAGGCCAAAACUAAAUACUGGAUUGUUUCUGUUUGAGAGUACUACCUAACACAGGAAAAGAAUUUAAAUAUAUCCUCAAUUACACUGAUUCAGAUUAUAUACCUGAAUUAAAAAUGUUAACUUGUAG
ensembl:lncRNA